UACGUAGGGUGCGAGCGUUAAUCGGAAUUACUGGGCGUAAAGCGUGCGCAGGCGGUUUUGUAAGCCAGAUGUGAAAGCCCCGGGCUUAACCUGGGAAUGGCAUUUGGGACUGCAAGGCUAGAGUGUGGCAGAGGAGACUGGAAUUCCUGGUGUAGCAGUGAAAUGCGUAGAUAUCAGGAGGAAUACCGAUGGCGAAGGCAGGUCUCUGGGUUAACACUGACGCUCAUGCACGAAAGCGUGGGGAGCAAACAGG
rnacentral:rRNA from 1 species